rnacentral:rRNA from 1 species
UUACCGGCUUGACAUCUAUGAAAGGGAGCAAUCAACAGGUGCUGCAUGGCUGUCGUCAGCUCGUGUCGUGAGAUGUUGGGUUAAGUCCCGCAACGAGCGCAACCCUGCAUUAGUUGCCAGCGUACGGGACUCUAAUGGACUGCCUAGAUCAAUAGGAGGAAGGUGGGGACGACGUCAAGUCAGUAUGGCCCUUACGCCGGGCUGCACACGUACUACAAUGGAGUACAAGUGCCACCGCGAGGGGAGGAAUCCCAAACUGCCUCAAUUCGGAUUGGAGGCUGCAACUCGCCUCCAUGAAGCCGGAAUCGCUAGUAAUGGCGAUCAGCACGUGCCGUGAAUACGUUCCCGGGUCUUGUACACACCGCCCGUCACAUCAUGGGAGCCGGAGACCGAA